rnacentral:lncRNA from 1 species
AAUAUUACUAUAAUAAUCCCAAAUUAACGUACUGAUACAUAUAUGAAUCAUUAAAUGUCUCAUGUAAUUCCAGCAAAUUUACACUGCAUUCGGUUUCAGUUUUUGGCUUGAUCUGAAUCUGUAUCCGUAUCGCUUGGCUACAAUCAGUUUGGUAACCGUUUAAUUGGCCGACAAUGGAGCUGUUUGGUCCCCGGAAAAAUGUCAAGCGUGGAAUGCCGGGUAAAUGCGGCGGCUAAUCAGAGACCGUGGCCACAAAGACAGCCGUUUGGAGUGGAGGCCAGGGCCCCAUGAACAUGGACCCAUGAUCGAUUGCAGUCACCUCAACGCGAGGUGACAGUCACCGUCCGUGUCGCAGUUGACACACAGGCCACAAUCGACAGUCGACUGGGCGAGGCACUUGCGAUAUUCCACAUCCACAUCGAUUUCCAUUUCAAAUGGUAGCAAUUACAAAAGGCGACCCCCGAACUAUUUGACACUGUUUGCCGCUGAAUGUUGAUUAAUUAGAUCGAAGUGGACUGGCUUGGAUUGGAUACGAUUGGAUUGGAUUGGAUUGGCCAAGAUGGCGGGGGACUCUUCUCCCUACGAGAUUAGCGCAUCUGGAGAGGAUGGGCCCCCAAGAUAAAGGUAUAUAUAUGUAUAUACAUGUAAACCCAAAUAUCUGGCGUCGGCACAGCGUAUUUGAUCCACGAUGACUAGCUUGUAUUACUAAAAUAUGCUGAGUCUUGGUCUUCGGAUUCGAACUCGUAUCGCAUUCGAUCGCCAAACACUUUUUAGAGUAAUUUCAAUUUCAUAAUUCGUUGCGCUAAUCUCGUCUUUCUCAUGAUCGCAGAGAACUCGCAGCUGAGUCAGUGCAUCUCUUCAUCCCCAUCUCCACACAGAUCCCAGAUCCAUUUCCAGCUACUUCGGAUUGUGCCGCAUCAUGCCAAUGGAUCCGCUCCUCUGAUUGAUACAUAAACACGCGCAAAACUCCUUCUCCGAUCGGAUCUAUAUCUAUUUGGGUUCCAUUGGCGGCAUUUCUAAUAGAAAUGUCGAGUAUCCAAAGAAAUCAGAAGACUUUCGUUUUUUUCCCCGGCAUACUUUUGUUGUGGGCUGCUUCUUCCGUCGGCCGUCUUUUUAACUGUCUAAGCCCUUCCGCCGCCUUUAUCAAUAAGCCAGCCGAGAUAAGCCAACUGGCUUGGGGCGCAGGAGUCGAGCGACCCUGCUUCCUUGGCAUGUCAGCUAUUUUGCAUAACUGACAGCAGAACCCAUACCUACAAGAACGGCACAUACUCAGACCUCCAGCAAACAAUCAAAUGCUGUCUAGUGCCAAGAGUGGGCGUUCCAGGGGGAGUUUACCGACCAAAAAUGCUCUGCACAGUGGUAACGGAUUAAAGGUACAGAUUAAAGUUGAGCAAAUCGAUGCAGUAAUAAAUAUAUUAUAUAUAACAUAAACUUAAUAAUAUAUACUUAAGCUGAACACAGA